CCGAAUGGGGAAACCCAGUGUGAUUCGUCACACUAUCAUUAACUGAAUCCAUAGGUUAAUGAGGCGAACCGGGGGAACUGAAACAUCUAAGUACCCCGAGGAAAAGAAAUCAACCGAGAUUCCCCCAGUAGCGGCGAGCGAACGGGGAGGAGCCCAGAGCCUGAAUCAGCAUGUGUGUUAGUGGAAGCGUCUGGAAAGGCGCGCGAUACAGGGUGACAGCCCCGUACACAAAAGCGCAUGUGCUGUGAGCUCGAUGAGUAGGGCGGGACACGUGGUAUCCUGUCUGAAUAUGGGGGGACCAUCCUCCAAGGCUAAAUACUCCUGACUGACCGAUAGUGAACCAGUACCGUGAGGGAAAGGCGAAAAGAACCCCGGCGAGGGGAGUGAAAAAGAACCUGAAACCGUGUACGUACAAGCAGUGGGAGCNNNNNNNNNNNNNNNNNNNNNNNNNNNNNNNNNNNNNNNNNNGGGCGUUAAGUUGCAGGGUAUAGACCCGAAACCCGGUGAUCUAGCCAUGGGCAGGUUGAAGGUUGGGUAACACUAACUGGAGGACCGAACCGACUAAUGUUGAAAAAUUAGCGGAUGACCUGUGGCUGGGGGUGAAAGGCCAAUCAAACCGGGAGAUAGCUGGUUCUCCCCGAAAGCUAUUUAGGUAGCGCCUCGUGAAUUCAUCUCCGGGGGUAGAGCACUGUUUCGGCUAGGGGGCCAUCCCGGCUUACCAACCCGAUGCAAACUGCGAAUACCGGAGAAUGUUAUCACGGGAGACACACGGCGGGUGCUAACGUCCGUCGUGAAGAGGGAAACAACCCAGACCGCCAGCUAAGGUCCCAAAGUCAUGGUUAAGUGGGAAACGAUGUGGGAAGGCCCAGACAGCCAGGAUGUUGGCUUAGAAGCAGCCAUCAUUUAAAGAAAGCGUAAUAGCUCACUGGUCGAGUCGGCCUGCGCGGAAGAUGUAACGGGGCUAAACCAUGCACCGAAGCUGCGGCAGCGANNNNNNNNNNNNNNNNNNNNNNNNNNNNNNNNNNNNNUGCUGGAGGUAUCAGAAGUGCGAAUGCUGACAUAAGUAACGAUAAAGCGGGUGAAAAGCCCGCUCGCCGGAAGACCAAGGGUUCCUGUCCAACGUUAAUCGGGGCAGGGUGAGUCGACCCCUAAGGCGAGGCCGAAAGGCGUAGUCGAUGGGAAACGGGUUAAUAUUCCCGUACUUGGUGUUACUGCGAAGGGGGGACGGAGAAGGCUAUGUUGGCCGGGCGACGGUUGUCCCGGUUUAAGCGUGUAGGUGUGUGUUCCAGGUAAAUCCGGUUCACUUUAACACUGAGGCGUGACGACGAGGCACUACGGUGCUGAAGCAACAAAUGCCCUGCUUCCAGGAAAAGCCUCUAAGCAUCAGGUAACACGAAAUCGUACCCCAAACCGACACAGGUGGUCAGGUAGAGAAUACCAAGGCGCUUGAGAGAACUCGGGUGAAGGAACUAGGCAAAAUGGUGCCGUAACUUCGGGAGAAGGCACGCUGACACGUAGGUGAAGUGAUUUACUCAUGGAGCUGAAGUCAGUCGAAGAUACCAGCUGGCUGCAACUGUUUAUUAAAAACACAGCACUGUGCAAACACGAAAGUGGACGUAUACGGUGUGACGCCUGCCCGGUGCCGGAAGGUUAAUUGAUGGGGUCAGCGCAAGCGAAGCUCCUGAUCGAAGCCCCGGUAAACGGCGGCCGUAACUAUAACGGUCCUAAGGUAGCGAAAUUCCUUGUCGGGUAAGUUCCGACCUGCACGAAUGGCGUAAUGAUGGCCAGGCUGUCUCCACCCGAGACUCAGUGAAAUUGAACUCGCUGUGAAGAUGCAGUGUACCCGCGGCAAGACGGAAAGACCCCGUGAACCUUUACUAUAGCUUGACACUGAACAUUGAGCCUUGAUGUGUAGGAUAGGUGGGAGGCUUUGAAGUGUGGACGCCAGUCUGCAUGGAGCCGACCUUGAAAUACCACCCUUUAAUGUUUGAUGUUCUAACGUGGACCCGUAAUCCGGGUUGCGGACAGUGUCUGGUGGGUAGUUUGACUGGGGCGGUCUCCUCCUAAAGAGUAACGGAGGAGCACGAAGGUUGGCUAAUCCUGGUCGGACAUCAGGAGGUUAGUGCAAUGGCAUAAGCCAGCUUGACUGCGAGCGUGACGGCGCGAGCAGGUGCGAAAGCAGGUCAUAGUGAUCCGGUGGUUCUGAAUGGAAGGGCCAUCGCUCAACGGAUAAAAGGUACUCCGGGGAUAACAGGCUGAUACCGCCCAAGAGUUCAUAUCGACGGCGGUGUUUGGCACCUCGAUGUCGGCUCAUCACAUCCUGGGGCUGAAGUAGGUCCCAAGGGUAUGGCUGUUCGCCAUUUAAAGUGGUACGCGAGCUGGGUUUAGAACGUCGUGAGACAGUUCGGUCCCUAUCUGCCGUGGGCGCUGGAGAACUGAGGGGGGCUGCUCCUAGUACGAGAGGACCGGAGUGGACGCAUCACUGGUGUUCGGGUUGUCAUGCCAAUGGCACUGCCCGGUAGCUAAAUGCGGAAGAGAUAAGUGCUGAAAGCAUCUAAGCACGAAACUUGCCCCGAGAUGAGUUCUCCCUGAGACUUAGAGUCUCCUGAAGGAACGUUGAAGACGACGACGUUGAUAGGCCGGGUGUGUAAGCGCAGCGAUGCGUUGAGCUAACCGGUACUAAUGAACCGUGAGGCUUAACCUUACAA
rnacentral:rRNA from 1 species